CAGCAGCCACGGUAAUACGGAGGGGGCUAGCGUUGUUCGGAAUUACUGGGCGUAAAGCGCACGUAGGCGGCUUGGUAAGUUAGAGGUGAAAGCCUGGAGCUCAACUCCAGAAUUGCCUUUAAGACUGCCGAGCUAGUAGGUGAGAGAGGUAAGUGGAAUUCCGAGUGUAGAGGUGAAAUUCGUAGAUAUUCGGAAGAACACCAGUGGCGAAGGCGGCUUACUGGCUCAUUCUAGACGCUGAGGUGCGAAAGCGUGGGGAGCAAACAGGAUUAGAUACCCCUGUAGUCCCUGUCUCUUAUAC
rnacentral:rRNA from 1 species